CACACCACUUGAACAUCAAAGAAAUCUCCAACCGAGUCCAAAGAGACAGUCAUGUCUACUCUGUUUCUCCUGCGGUGAACACAAGAUGGAAGACAGCGGUAGCUGCUCGGCAUUUGCCGGCGGGAGUUCGAGUCGAAAGCCAUCACCGGAGGAACCGUCGAUCAUUGCUUGAUGCUGAAAGAAAAAAGUUACGUGGUGGUACCCCCAUCACUCAUGGUUUUUGUCUAGAAUACAAGGGCAGGGGUGAUGCAUGAAUAUCACCUAAAUGCCGAUCCUCUUUAGCACGCUUCAGGAGGCCAGAGAUAUCGUUCUAGGCCUUUUGGAGGGAAGCGAAAUGAGAAGACGAUCCAUGUAUUUGUAAUACGUUGUUGAAUCAAGACCUAUCCAAGCGACUGAAGACAUUCGUGAAGCCAUAAUUAAGUUAGGUUUCUAGGUGCUUAAUGUGGAUUCACGAUAAGCUUUGUGUGUUAUAAAUAAAAUCUACUUUUUUAUUGA